rnacentral:tRNA from 1 species
GGGGCUGUGGUUCAGCGGUAGAGCGCUUGUCUCAUAAGCAUGAGGCACUGGGUUCAAUCCUCAGCACCA